UGUGCGGCUCUCCUUUAUUUUCUAGACAAGCAGAUGUCCACACACUUUUGGUCAUGUAGUGCUAUGAUGGAGGAGGUCAAUAAGAGUGUCGAAUCUGGUUAACAAAAAAGAUCUGCCAACUAGGCUCAGUGGGUGACAGGUAACUGUGUUUCCACCAAGCUGUUCCAGGCCUGGAGUGGCACCCUGGAACUUCUAGAGGCUUGUAGACUUGAAGCUGUGUGAUGUGGUCCAGAUCUGACACCCCUAUUAGCUCAACCACAGCCCUCAUAGCUACAGUCUUCUGCUCCUGCACCUGCUACACCGGCCGUGACAGGUGAUACAGAUCUGCCACCCUUAGCAGUUCAGCUGCAUUCACAGCAGUCCUCUGCUGUGGUAUUUAUUUUACUGGCUGCACCAGGUCCUACUACACUGGCCGUGAAGGGAGAAACUUUUAAGGAUUCUCAGAUGGAAUCAGAUCUACCAUGCACUCCACCACUGCCCGACAGCCUCUCCCAGACAUGCAUACACUGGGCCUAUCAAGACUGACAAAGCAGAGAUGGUUGAGUGACAAGGAAAAAUAAAACACAACAUGCACACACACACACACACACACACUCUCUCGCUGUCACACACACACACACACACAUUAUCCCCAAUGUAAAUCAUUUGUAAUUACUUGUUUAUUUUAUGUAUUCUCCAUUUUAUUUUAGGAUCGGAGAUAUCUACUCCUACAUAUCCAUUAUCAACAUCUACAUAAUUAAUCUAAAUAGCUAUCAAAUCAAAGUGUGAUUGAUAAUAUUGUAAAAGAGUAUUGCUUAAUGUGUACAGUUUGAGGAAAUUCUGUGUGCUUUUUCUGAGUUGAAAAACAUUACUCGCUCUCACACUCUCUCUCUCUCCCUCACAUACAGUAUAUACAAGGUUCCCAGGAGUGGCAGGCAGAUAGUACAUUAAAAACACUUUUGCAGGACAAUAAACUAAGGCCCCUGGCUACCCAUCACA